UAUUUUGGGUAAUCGCUAUAUUAUAUAGAGGAAAGUCCAUGCUCACACAGUCUGAGAUGAUUGUAGUGUUCGUGCUUGAUGAAACAAUAAAUCAAGGCAUUAAUUUGACGGCAAUGAAAUAUCCUAAGUCUUUCGAUAUGGAUAGAGUAAUUUGAAAGUGCCACAGUGACGUAGCUUUUAUAGAAAUAUAAAAGGUGGAACGCGGUAAACCCCUCGAGUGAGCAAUCCAAAUUUGGUAGGAGCACUUGUUUAACGGAAUUCAACGUAUAAACGAGACACACUUCGCGAAAUGAAGUGGUGUAGACAGAUGGUUAUC
rnacentral:RNase_P_RNA from 1 species